ensembl:lncRNA novel transcript
CGAAGAGAGGUUAGGGUUUCUUUAGGUUUCCGUACUUUCCUGUUGAGCACUGCGGCGCAACUCGCCUUGCUGCGGUUGGUGGUGGCGAUGGAGAUUGCAGCGCGGCUGAAGGGAACCUACUGGGUUGGUGACAUUUACAAGAGAGUCUUGAAGAUUUUCCAGAACGGGAAAGAUUUUGGAAGAACAAAGAGGAACUACAGAAUCAUUGCUUACAUUGACACAAUUGAAUGGGAAGCCAUCAUUCUUUAAAGGGCAAUGACCAAGCAGUACCAGCAGAAAUUGAAGUACCAGCAGAAGGCUAAGAAGGGAUCAUGGCACAAGUUGCAGUUUCCACCCUGCCCAUUGAAGAUGAGGAGUCCAUGGAAGAUGAGGAGUCUGUUGAAGACGAGGAGUCCGUUGAAGAUGAGUCCGCGGAGAGCAGGAUGCUGGUGACAUUGCUCAUAUCAGCUCUUGAGUCCACGCUACUGGAAGCCUCCGAAUUCCAACGACGUGCUUUCAAUCAGGUCUGAUCCUUCCCCUGGCGGAUACCUCUGACUCAGGUGUGCUACAAAUGCAUUGCCCCUAGUUGCUUCUAUCACCUUAGUGAUGGAAGUGAGAAGAGGGUACUGGAGAAAGAAAAGGUGUACAGGGUUCCAAAUGUACUUUCUUUUUCCAGAGGACACUCGUGAAGCCAGUGGAAAGCAAACAAGCUGCUAAAUAAGUCACAAGCGUGUUCUCAUACAGUUUUGCGAUUAAAUAGGACAUUCAAUCAAUAAAAUUUGUUUUACAUAGUUCCUCCUCUGAUAGGAUGAACUUGUGGAUUGUGAGACAGGGCUGAUAGAACCUGUUUUCUCUCUGCCUCUUUUUUUUCCCCCAAGUUUUGUGUGCAAUACAUUAGGAAAAAUAUAAUUGGGCUACAAAGCUACAAAAAUGGCUUCCUGACAGCCUCAUACUUGUUUCCAUGUGGUGCCUAUGUUUGGCACUGUGUUCUCAUUUGCAUUUUCCUACUUGAUUAGUUAAUGUAUGAAGGACAAGCCUGAUCUCUACUGUGAAUUUCUACCAAGGUAUUUUAGUAGAAAAAUAAGUAUGUAAUGGUGCUGUGGACUGCUAAAGUGUGUAAAACAUUAAGAAUCUAAAAAUAUGCUCAUUUCCAAGUUUUGUCCCAGAGCAACUGUGCACGCUGAUUAAAUCACUACUGUUAUUUGAAGUUAUCCAUUUGCAUGUCUAAGAAAUGGAUUCAUACUGAUUGUCCCAUUUUGAUCUCAAAAAACUCCUGAAUAUGAGAGUCGUGAUCAAGGGACGCUUCAUGAAAUGUUCCAAAGUUAAAGUGUGCAAUGAAACUAGAUUCGUCAUAGCCUCAUCUAAAAUAAUUAUUUCUAAAAUUGUUGUUGUUUAAUUAUAAGCUGUAUCCUUUCAGGAUACUUGGAAGAGCCAUAACAGUGUUUAUAUUUUUACAGAACAAACAUAAAUUAUCUAUGAAAUAAUCACUCAGAUAUAGAGAUUAGUUCCUAUUGGCCUUACAUAUGAAUAUAAAUAAGUAAAAAUUAUUAACGUAUAAGCAUACUUAUAAUUAUGUAAAUGUGUGUGUAAUGUUAUUUGUAAGUUCAAUAAAGUCAUGCUUGUACAUAGUUUCAAUUCAUGCUUCUAAAAACCACUCAAUGUAGUCAUUAUCGUAUGUUAAUAAAUAAUCUCUGAAAA